rnacentral:rRNA from 1 species
AAGCGUUAUCCGGAAUUAUUGGGCGUAAAGGGCUCGUAGGCGGUUCGUCGCGUCCGGUGUGAAAGUCCAUCGCUUAACGGUGGAUCCGCGCCGGGUACGGGCGGGCUUGAGUGCGGUAGGGGAGACUGGAAUUCCCGGUGUAACGGUGGAAUGUGUAGAUAUCGGGAAGAACACCAAUGGCGAAGGCAGGUCUCUGGGCCGUCACUGACGCUGAGGAGCGAAAGCGUGGGGAGCGAACAGGAUUAGAUACCCUGGUAGUCCACGCCGUAAACGGUGGAUGCUGGAUGUGGGGACCAUUCCACGGUCUCCG